ACUAUUUAACUGGGAUUAGAUACCCCACUAUGCUCAGCCGUAAAAUAUUAUUUACAUUAAAAACGCCAGAAAACUACGAGCGCAAGCUUAAAACUCAAAGGACUUGACGGUGUCCUAUCUACCUAGAGGAGCCUGUUCUGUAAUUGAUAAUCCCCGAUAUACCUCACCCUUUUUAGCUAAUCAGUCUGUAUACUUCCGUCGUAAGCCUAUCAUAUGAAUGCUCUAAUAGGCUAAAUAAUUUUAACAUUAAAACGUCAGGUCAAAGUGCAGCCAACAAAAGGGAAGAGAUGGGCUACAAUUUUUAACUUAAAACAUACGAAAUAGCACUUGAAAAUUGCUAUGAAGGUGGAUUUAGAAGUAAAGUAAAAAAAGAGUGUUUACUUUAAUUAUGCUCUGGGACGUGUACACACCGCCCGUCACCCU
rnacentral:rRNA from 1 species